GACGAACGCUGGCGGCGUGCCUAACACAUGCAAGUCGAACGAGGUCCAUCCAGUGGCAACACCGGUGAAGACCUAGUGGCGAACGGGUGAGUAACACGUGAGGAACCUGCCCCGAAGACCGGGAUAACUCUCCGAAAGGAGAGCUAAUACCGGAUGCCCCCACCGGACCGCAUGGUCUGGUGAGGAAAUGGAUUCCGCUUCGGGAGGGCCUCGCGGCCUAUCAGCUAGUUGGUGGGGUAACGGCCCACCAGGGCAUCGACGGGUAGCUGGUCUGGGAGGACGAUCAGCCACACUGGGACUGAGACACGGCCCAGACUCCUACGGGAGGCAGCAGUGGGGAAUCUUGCGCAAUGGGCGAAAGCCUGACGCAGCAACGCCGCGUGGGGGAUGAAGGCUCUCGGGUUGUAAACCCCUUUCAGCAGGGACGAAUCAAGACGGUACCUGCAGAAGAAGCCCCGGCUAACUACGUGCCAGCCGCCGCCGUAACAC
rnacentral:rRNA from 1 species